CUCAACUCCUCCGUUUGGAUAAAAGUCAAGAUGUCCUAUAGCUGGCGCCAUGCCAAAACCUGGAGCAUUGGAAACGGGGGAAAAGUGUGAUACAACUAUCAGUGCUUUCAAGCCUUAGUUCCUGAUACCCACAAAGUCCUGCUGCUAAGCAGACCCCAGCCUCUGUUGGCAGAAGUCUCUUACCUUUGUGAGAUUUUACUUGUGUGCUGCACCAGUGUCCCAGAUCACCUCAGAUGGAGCAGCAAAGUGUUUGGUCACCUCCCUUUCAAGGAAACCUGAGUGGGGCUGAAUUUGUAAGUCCACCCACCCACAAGAUGGAAAGCAAACUCUAACUCCAAGGAGUCAGCACAGUAUUUCACUGCUCGUUGUAAUUACAAGAUACUGGAUUCCUCUGCAAAACUGUUGGAUUGAGACCUUGAAAUAUGGGCAGGUGUCAGGGCAGAUUUGGUUCCACAAUUUAGAAGAAGACAUGUACAGUGGCUUGAUAGUAUAUCAGCACAACUUUUGGUGAGAACAGGGAAGAAAGUGUUUAGGAAAAACUUCCUGGCCAAGAAGAGCUGUGGGAAUUCACUACCAGGUCUGAUUAAAGCUUGAGGAGAGGGGAUGGGGGAUGUCAGACACGAAACCUUGACUUUCUUUUGUUAUACUUUUACAUCAAUUAAGUCACUUAGUAAUCUGGAUUGCACCUCCACGUGUUUUUUAUUUGACUUCUGUGUGAAUGCUCACUGCUUACUUUGCUUUUGUUUUAUGUUUUUUUUCUGAUACUUACUGAAAGCUCUAAACCCAAAUAAAUGACAGGUUCAGUAAAAACUCAAUCUUGCUUUUGUGCUGCAAAAGCCCAUUCAAGGUUUCAUAAGCCCCUCAAAAUUGAUUUUUGGAGCACUGUUAUUUAAUCUGCCCUUUACAAAACUUUAAUGCCUUGAGCAAAUCCUUCUUGCCUUAUUCCCACCAAAAGGCACUUUGACUUCAUGGUAAGCAGAUAAAUGUAAGACAAAAAAUGCAGUUCAGACUGUUCCCCCAGUCCCUAGUAAUUCUCUAACUUCUCUAUUCUCCCUUUCUCGUUAUUGAAGAAAGCCUCCUGUGUAAACACUACUUUUUGUGCUCCCACAGCACAGAGACUUUUUCCCAUCACUAGCUUGCUCUCCCCCACCUGCUGGAUCUGACUCAUUAGUUCAACUUCAGCUUUGCUUCACCUCUUCACUCCCCUAAGAAUCGUAUUUAAAGUUCAUGGCCCUGUUCUUAUUCUCAGCAUACUUUCCCUUCACAUACCUAGCGGCACUGCAGAUAAUUCUGUGUAAUGUUCCCUGGGCUCAGUGGCUCUGACUCCAAUAUUCUCUUGCAGGGUUCACUCUUUAAAAGGAGGUCUGUGGCAGAGAUGGCAAAGGGAAUCUGCAGGCUAACCCUGAGCCAGGCAAUGGAUUAAUUCAGUCUCCUUGUCAGCUCAGGGGUACAUUGUCAUCCACAGACCAACCCUACACAAUGCUCCAACACUGCAGCCUUUGCAGGUGGAACUGGCUGCAAAAUCACAUCCACUGCCUUUGAGGGAGGCACCUCUGCAUGGGAACCUCUGAAGAGUUGGCUGUCAUUGGUUCACAGGCAGAGGAGGAGGCAGAAAGACAGAAUGCAGCAAAGUUCUGAUUUUGCUGUGCAUGCCUGGCCUCCAGGAGCAGGUGGAUGCUGUAUCCUGGGGUAUCAUCCAGCUGUAUCCUGGAUGGAUACAGACUGCUGUUGUUGCAUUCAGAGCAUUUGGGCCCAGGCUGCGAGGUGACAGGAAGCUUAAAACGAUCCAGUGUUAGGGGUUACACUUACCUCAACCUACUUAGAAAGAAAAGGGUUUGAAGCACUAAUUUAACUGAAGUCUUAGUGUCAAAGAACACUACUAUCCACAUUUCUUUGCCUUUUCUUUGUGAAAAGUUUCCAAUGAAGUAGAACAGCUUCCAACUAGGAAGAAACGAGUAACUACAACUACAUAAAGACUGAAUUACUGGCAGUUAAUGCUGGCAGCAACUAGCUUGGAGUAUUUGGUUCUGCCUUCCACAUUAUUUGUACUGUAAUGGUCUUUAAACAAUAAUCCAGUGGUGAUUGUGUCAUCAUCCUUCCUGUAAUGAAGUGUUUGUCGUCACCAGCUGCACCUUAUGUAUGUUAUAUUAUAUUAAUUGUUCUGAAACCUUUUUAUAAAACUUGACUAGCAGGACAUUUAAAAAAGCUUAAAUAUCUUUAAAGUAUUUGCAUUAAGUACUUCUGUGUGGCUUACUCUUACUUUUCUUUUAUCUGAAGACAUUCAUGAGUUGAGUGAUUGACAGAUACAAAUUGUAAGGCAGACCUUGGUUUGACUGAAAUCAACAGCAAAACAUUCAAUGACUUAAUUUUACCCCAGGGCAAGUAAAAGGCAGUUGGAAAACACUGUGCAAAGACCCAAAGGAUUACGACUCCAGCCACAGAGUGGCUAAUGAGGUUUUGUCUGCAACAGAAAUUUAUAAAUAAUUCCAUAUAUGAAAGAGAAAAAUAAAAAAAUAAUAAUUUCUGCUAUGGAAAAAUGUCCUUGUGGUUGGUAAGGAGCUGUCUCCCACCUACUGUCCUGUUUAAGGAUGGAUAUUCUGAGCAACUGUAUGCAGCAUGGACUUUCUUCUUGGAUCUUGACCUUCAGACGUGGUUGCAUCUUAAACUUUUUUCCUCGAUUAAAACCUUUUAACCUUUUUUCACUUUGGGUGGUAGUUUUCCAGAGAUGAGUCAAAAUGCUGGCAAGAGGAGUGUUUAGAUAGUAUUCAGAAGUUUUGGAUGCGUGUUUUCCAGCUGUUUUGUUAUUUCUGAACUGUCAGCGACAUUUUAUUCAACUUUUAACACUUAAAAUGCGAGUUCAGUUUUACUGUAACAGGAAACACCCCACAAAAGCUGUGUUUUAUAGCAGCAAAAGUAGUUACUAAUGCAGAGAUUUACAAUGUGUUGCUUUUUAAAAUGCCAAAUAACGUGUGUAUGUUUGUAUGUAUUCAGGACAUCAAUGCAUGAAUGGUUUUGUAAAAAGUGGCCUGGAUUUCAGUCUGAUUUUUAGUUGCUAUACUCUGCUGCGAAUCUUGUAGCUAUUCUUGACUUAGGCUUCUAAAUGGCAGGAGAAUUAUGCUACCUUUGUGUUAGAUACACAGAUAACUUCUAUACAGAGCUUAUCUGUGCGCGAUAAUGAUGUCAAAAUUACCAGUGAAGAAGUAAUCAUCUCUCUGUAUCACUCAGCUCAAUUUCUAUUGAAGUGUUUAGAAGACCAACUUGUUUCAUUAAAUACCAGCGAUUUGAAAAGCUGAAGCUGUCUCCAAUCGUCAAUGCUAUCACCAACUUAGCACCUUCUAAUUACCCUGAAAUACUCCAGAAAUCUGGUCAUUGUCUUUGUUCCUCCAAUUACAUCCUUGUAUGUGCAGCAGAUAAUAGACUUCGUGACCAUAUAAUAGUAUAUGACUCUUCACAUUAAACAACCAAACCACAAAACUUGGGACUUAAUCA